AUGUAGUGUAGCAUGCCCGUUGGUGCUUAACUCUGAUGAUUAUGUUGUAUUUAAUUAUAUUUGGGUAGCGGGGUGUUACAGUGAA
rnacentral:pre_miRNA from 1 species